GUGCCAGCCGCCGCGGUAAUACAGAGGUGGCAAGCGUUGUUCGGAAUUACUGGGCGUAAAGGGCGCGUAGGCGGCCUUCUCAGUCAGACGUGAAAUCCCCGGGCUUAACUCGGGAACUGCGUCUGAUACUGGAAGGCUGGAGUUCGGGAGAGGGAUGUGGAAUUCCAGGUGUAGCGGUGAAAUGCGUAGAUAUCUGGAGGAACACCGGUGGCGAAGGCGGCAUCCUGGACCGAAACUGACGCUGAGGCGCGAAAGCCAGGGGAGCAAACGGGAUUAGAAACCCUCGUAGUCC
rnacentral:rRNA from 1 species